GACAGAGGGUGCAAACGUUGCUCGGAAUCACUGGGCGUAAAGGGCGUGUAGGCGGGCAGGUAAGUCGGGCGUGAAAUCCCUGGGCUCAACCCGGGAACUGCACUCGAAACUACUUGUCUUGAGUGUCGGAGAGGAAAGCGGAAUUCCUGGUGUAGAGGUGAAAUUCGUAGAUAUCAGGAGGAACACCAGUGGCGAAGGCGGCUUUCUGGACGAGUAACUGACGCUGAGACGCGAAAGCGUGGGGAGCAAACAGGAU
rnacentral:rRNA from 1 species